rnacentral:rRNA from 1 species
UUAAACGGCCGCGGUAUCCUAACCGUGCAAAGGUAGCAUAAUCACUUGUCCCCUAAAUAGGGACUAGAAUGAACGGCUACAUGAGGACUAACCUGUCUCUUACAUUCAAUCAAUGAAACUGAUCUUUCAGUCCAAAAGCUGAAAUUACCCCAUAAGACGAGAAGACCCUGUGGAGCUUACUAAACUAACCCCACCACCAUGGAGGCCUGGUUUUUAGUUGGGGCGACUGCGGAGUACAAUAAAUCCUCCGAAACCUCCCACAUAGAUUAACACAUCUUCACCUCCCCUGACCCAGUAAGUUUCCCUACUUACCUGAUUAAUGAACCAAGUUACCCCAGGGAUAACAGCGCCAUCCUCUUUAAGAGUUCCCAUCGACAAGAGGGCUUACGACCUCGAUGUUGGAUCAGGACACCCAAAUAGUGCACCCGCUAUUAAUGGUUCGUUUGUUCAACGAUUAA